GAUGAACACAAAAAACAUUCAAUAGCUUCACUCAGGAUUGAAUUUUGUUUUUUAGCAUUUUUUGUUCCAUCCAAUGAUGAAAGUUUCGUCAUCAGACUGGAAUAGGUUAAAAUGGCUAGAUUUCUACAACUCGUGCCUCAAAUUUAAGAUAGUUAAUAAACUUGUCAUAAAACUAUCUUCAAGUUGUUACUUAAUAAGUUUACCCAUUUCCUUGAUUGUCAUUUUAUCAAAAAUGAAACAUAAUAAGUUGAGGAUAAAUGUUAGAUAUAAAAAUGCAUAUGUUAUUCACAUUUUCUGUUGAGGGAUAAACAACAACUUUUAAGAAAACAAUAUGUAAAUUUGCAUUUAAUUUUUUGAAUACUUGCAUAGCAGCAAAUUUGUUAUGUAAAUAUCUUGUACAAUAAUUGUAAGAAAAUAAACAAGAAAAAAACAAUUAUCCAUAUCAUUAUUUUGAUGAUAAUCUAUCUAAAAAAUAACUUUAUGAAAUAAAGACCUAAAUUAAAAAUUUUGAAACUUUCUAAACUUUUGUGUGCCUUCUGUUUUAAGUCAAGAAAUCUAGCAUAUACCCCAUACAACAUUAUAAUAAAAGAAAACCAAAUAUUUCUUAUCCAUCCUUAGCAGUGUACAACCAUAUGGACCAUUUAUUAUGAAAGUGGUAUAAGUCAAUGUUUGGAAAAAAUUGAGAA
rnacentral:lncRNA from 1 species